ACACAUGCAGUCGGACGCAGCACAGAAGAAGCUUGCUCCUUUUGGUGGCGAGUUGCCGACGGUGAGUAAUGUUCUGGAAACUGCCCGAUGGAGGGGAUAACUACUGGAUACCGGUAGCUAAUACCGCAUUACGUCGCAAGACCAAAGUGGGGGACCUUCGGGCCUCACACCAUCGGAUGUGCCCAGAUGGGAUUAGCUAGUAGGUGGGGUAAUGGCUCACCUAGGCGACGAUCCCUAGCUGGUCUGAGAGGAUGACCAGCCACACUGGAACUGAGACACGGUCCAGACUCCUACGGGAGGCAGCAGUGGGGAAUAUUGCACAAUGGGCGCAAGCCUGAUGCAGCCAUGCCGCGUGUAUGAAGAAGGCCUUCGGGUUGUAAAGUACUUUCAGCGGGGAGGAAGGCGGUGAGGUUAAUAACCUUGCCGAUUGACGUUACCCGCAGAAGAAGCACCGGCUAAAUCCGUGCCAGCAGCCGCGGUAAUACGGAGGGAACAAGCGUUAAUCGGAAUUACUGGGCGUAAAGCGCACGCAGGCGGUCUGUUAAGUCAGAUGUGAAAUCCCCGGGCUUAACCUGGGAACUGCAUUUGAAACUGGCAGGCUUGAGUCUCGUAGAGGGGGGUAGAAUUCCAGGUGUAGCGGUGAAAUGCGUAGAGAUCUGGAGGAAUACCGGUGGCGAAGGCGGCCCCCUGGACGAAGACUGACGCUCAGGUGCGAAAGCGUGGGGAGCAGACAGAAUUAGAUACCCUGGUAGUCCACGCCGUAAACGAUGUCGACUUGGAGGUUGUGCCCUUGAGGC
rnacentral:rRNA from 1 species